CCCUUAGUAACGGCGAGUGAACCGGGAUGAGCUCAAAUUUAAAAUCUGGCGUCUUUCAGGCGUCCGAGUUGUAAUCUAUAGAGGCGUUUUCCGCGCCGGACCGCGUCCAAGUCUCUUGGAAUAGAGUAUCAAAGAGGGUGACAAUCCCGUACUUGACGCGACAACCGGUGCUCUGUGAUACGUUCUCAAUGAGUCGAGUUGUUUGGGAAUGCAGCUCUAAAUGGGUGGUAAAUUCCAUCUAAGGCUAAAUAUUGGCGAGAGACCGAUAGCGAACAAGUACCGUGAGGGAAAGAUGAAAAGCACUUUGGAAAGAGAGUUAAACAGCACGUGAAAUUGUUAAAAGGGAAACGAUUGAAGUCAGUCGUGUGAAAGGUAUUCAGCCGUCUCUGGCGGUGUAUUUGCCUUUCACGGGUCAACAUCAGUUUGAUCCGGUAGAAAAAGGCGGGAGGAAGGUGGCACCCUCGGGUGUGUUAUAGCCUCCUGUCAUAUGUGCCGGACCAGACUGAGGAACGCAGCUUGCCGCAAGGCCGGGGUUCGCCCACGUACAAGCUUAGGA
rnacentral:rRNA from 1 species